AUUGAACGCUGGCGGCAGGCCUAACACAUGCAAGUCGAGUGAGCGGCGGACGGGUGAGUAAUGUUUGGGGACUGCCCGAUAGAGGGGGAUAACUACUGGAAACGGUGGCUAAUAACGCAUACCAUCGGAUAACCCAAUGGGGAUUAGCUAGUAGGUUGGGUAAAGGCUAACCUAGGCGACGAUCUCUAGCUGGUCUGAGAGGAUGAUCAGCCAGACUGGGACUGAGACACGGCCCAGACGCUUACGGAGGCAGCAGUGGGGAAUAUUGCACAAUGGGCGCAAGCCUGAUGCAGCCAUGCCGCGUGUAUGAAGAAGGCCUUCGGGUUGUAAAGUACUUUCAGCGAGGAGGCGUUACCCGCAGAAGAAGCACCGGCUAACUACGUGCCAGCAGCCGCGGUAAUAC
rnacentral:rRNA from 1 species